UCCUCUUUAGCCAAGUUGGUAGAGCGCUCCAUUGGAAAUGGAGAGGUCCUUGGUUCGAUACCAGGACCAGGCG
rnacentral:tRNA from 1 species